rnacentral:lncRNA from 1 species
AUCAUCUUUUGUAUUUGAUGAUUUUAGUAUUAUGAACAUGUUUAAAUGAAUAAUGAAAAUGAUAUUUAUUUUAAAUGUCAAAAGUUAUGUUUUGGGAGAAAUGAGAUGUAAAAAGAAAUGAUGUAAGAAUGUGAAAGAACUUGAUUAUAGUUGGAUGCAUGUAUGUGAUUUAAAUUUAGUCAUAUUACUUGUAUGUUGGAUUAUUAAUUCUUUCACUUUGGCUAUUGCUUGCCCUCGUGCAAGCCAUUGUGUAUGCUUCCGCUUAUGCAAGUUUUAUACUCUAUUGAUACUUGUGUUGAGCCUUGGGCGGACAGGGGAGGCUUUGUCCGUUCGGCGUCUGUUCGACGCUAUUGAACCGGCCAAAAGGAUCAAGCUCGGGGCGUGAC